CCUACGGGAGGCAGCAGUGAGGAAUAUUGGUCAAUGGGCUUACGCCUGAACCAGCCAAGUCGCGUGAGGGAAGACUGCCCUAUGGGUUGUAAACCUCUUCUGCCAGGGAGCAACGCCGGCUACGUGUAGCCGGACUGAGAGCACCUGAAGAAAAAGCAUCGGCUAACUCCGUGCCAGCAGCCGCGGUAAUACGGAGGAUGCGAGCGUUAUCCGGAUUUAUUGGGUUGAAAGGGUGCGUAGGCGGAAUGCCAAGUCAGCGGUAAAAGCGCGGGGCUCAACCUCGCUCCGCCGUUGAAACUGGCGUUCUUGAGUGGGCGAGAGGUAUGCGGAAUGCGUGGUGUAGCGGUGAAAUGCGUAGAUAUCACGCAGAACUCCGAUUGCGAAGGCAGCAUACCGGCGCCCAACUGACGCUGAAGCACGAAGGCGUGGGUAUCGAACAGGAUUAGAUACCCUUGUAGUC
rnacentral:rRNA from 1 species